GGCGGACGGGUGAGUAAUGUAUCGGAACGUGCCCAGUAGCGGGGGAUAACUACUUGAAAGAGUAGCUAAUACCGCAUACGCCCUACGGGGGAAAGGGGGGGAUCGCAAGACCUCUCACUAUUGGAGCGGCCGAUAUCGGAUUAGCUAGUUGGUGGGGUAACGGCUCACCAAGGCGACGAUCCGUAGCUGGUUUGAGAGGACGACCAGCCACACUGGGACUGAGACACGGCCCAGACUCCUACGGGAGGCAGCAGUGGGGAAUUUUGGACAAUGGGGGAAACCCUGAUCCAGCCAUCCCGCGUGUGCGAUGAAGGCCUUCGGGUUGUAAAGCACUUUUGGCAGGAAAGAAACGGCACGGGUUAAUAACCCGUGUUGAUGACGGUACCUGCAGAAUAAGCACCGGCUAACUACGUGCCAGCAGCCGCGGUAAUACGUAGGGUGCAAGCGUUAAUCGGAAUUACUGGGCGUAAAGCGUGCGCAGGCGGUUCGGAAAGAAAGAUGUGAAAUCCCAGGGCUUUAACCUUUGGAACUGCAUUUUUAACUACCGGGCUAGAGUGCGUUCAGAGGGGGGGUGGAAUUCCC
rnacentral:rRNA from 1 species